UAACUUUUAAUCAGCCAAACAUCUUGCGCAGACCCUGAGCCAGCCCUGCAUCCUGGUUCUUCCCCUGAAUGACCACCUUCCCCAGUUCCUCCUGGGCUGCCCGGUUUUUGGGAUCUAUCGCCAGCACCUUCUUGAGGUUCUUUUCCCACUCUUGUUGCGGCUGAGAGGUGUCCUUUUCUCCAAUUGUAUUGACUGGUGGCGUCUCCAUAUGGAUGCUUAGUCCCUUCCACGGUGAGUGAACAGUUUUGGUCAGAAAGGGAUGAACCAGGUUCAGGUCAGCACCUGAAAAGAAAACCAAACAAUGCUAAUAGCAGGGUUCUUAUUUAGACUCCUUUCUCGUCCUUUCCCAUUCUUCUGAGACCCAGGCCCCUAGUCCUGAAAGUCCCCAGUUUUGCUUUCCUCCAAAAAUCUGCUCCAG
rnacentral:lncRNA from 1 species